AGCGAACGCUGGCGGCAGGCUUAACACAUGCAAGUCGAACGGUCCUUCGGGAUAGUGGCGGACGGGUGAGUAACACGUGGGAACGUACCCUUAGGUUCGGAACAACACAGGGAAACUUGUGCUAAUACCGGAUAAGCCCUUCGGGGGAAAGAUUUAUCGCCUUUGGAGCGGCCCGCGUCUGAUUAGCUUGUUGGUGAGGUAAUGGCACACCAAGGCUACGAUCAGUAGCUGGUCUGAGAGGAUGGCCAGCCACACUGGGACUGAGACACGGCCGAAACUCCUACGGGAGGCAGCAGUGGGGAAUCUUGCGCAAUGGGCGAAAGCCUGACGCAGCCAUGCCGCGUGGAUGAUGAAGGUCUUAGGAUUGUAAAAUCCUUUCACCGGGGACGAUAAUGACGGUACCCGGAGAAGAAGCCCCGGCUAACUUCGUGCCAGCCGCCGCCGUAA
rnacentral:rRNA from 1 species